GACGAACGCUGGCGGCGUGCUUAACACAUGCAAGUCGACAUGAGUGGCGAACGGGUGAGUAAUACGUGGGUAACCUGCCCUCCUUUUUGGGAUAAGCCUUGGAAACGGGGUCUAAUACCGAAUAAAGGGGGAUGGGCUCGCGGCCUAUCAGCUUGUUGGUGGGGUGAUGGCCUACCAAGGCGGUGACGGGUAGCCGGCCUGAGAGGGUGACCGGCGACAGUGUGACUGAGAUACGGCCCAGAGUGAUACGGGAGGCAGCAGAGGGGGAUAAUGCAGAAUGGGCGAAAGCCGGAUGCAGCGGGGCCGAGUGGGGGAUGAAGGCUUUCGGGGUGUAAACCUCAUUGGCAAUCGAACCGGUAGGUGGAGAAGAAGCGCCGGCUAACUACGUGCCAGCAGCCGCGGUAAUUC
rnacentral:rRNA from 1 species